AUUGAACGCUGGCGGCAGGCCUAACACAUGCAAGUCGAACGAGUGGCGGACGGGUGAGUAAUGUCUGGGAAACUGCGCGUUGCCUGGGGAUAACUACUGGAAACGGCAGCUAAUCCCGCAUUCCAUCGGAUUUGCCCUGAUGGGAUUAGCUGUGGGGUGAGGUAAAGGCCCACCAAGGCGACGAUCCGUAGCUGGUCUGAGAGGUUGAUCGGCCACACUGGAACUGAGACACGGUCCAGACUCCUACGGGAGGCAGCAGUGGGGAAUAUUGGACAAUGGGCGCAAGCCUGAUCCAGCCAUACCGCGUGAGUGAAGAAGGCCUUCGGGUUGUAAAGCCCUUUUGUUGGGAAAGCGGUACCCAAAGAAUAAGCACCGGCUAACUUCGUGCCAGCCGCCGCGGUAAUAC
rnacentral:rRNA from 1 species